rnacentral:other from 1 species
AAUUUCCUGAGAUGUUCGAUAUUCCUGUUAUUUUGAACCUACAUGAUGUAAUAAGGGAAACCUAUAUUUGUGAGUGGAUGUCAGGCCGCCAUUGACAGCGGAAGGCAGAAGCUUACAUGCGGUUACCCACCUAGCUUGGCUAGGCGUCAAAAUGCAGGAGACGGCAUUUCGGGUUUACA